CCACGCCGUAACGAUGUCUACUUGGAGGUUGGUGUCUUGAACACUGGCUUUCGGAGCUAACGCGUUAAGUAGACCGCCUGGGGAGUACGGUCGCAAGAUUAAAACUCAAAUGAAUUGACGGGGGCCCGCACAAGCGGUGGAGCAUGUGGUUUAAUUCGAUGCUACGCGAAGAACCUUACCUACUCUUGACAUCCACGGAAUCCUGCAGAGAUGCGGGAGUGCCUUCGGGAACCGUGAGACAGGUGUUGCAUGGCUGUCGUCAGCUCGUGUUGUGAAAUGUUGGGUUAAGUCCCGCAACGAGCGCAACCCUUAUCCUUGUUUGCCAGCACUUCGGGUGGGAACUCCAGGGAGACUGCCGGUGAUAAACCGGAGGAAGGUGGGGACGACGUCAAGUCAUCAUGGCCCUUACGAGUAGGGCUACACACGUGCUACAAUGGCAUAUACAGAGGGCAGCAAGACCGCGAGGUGGAGCGAAUCCCACAAAGUAUGUCGUAGUCCGGAUUGGAGUCUGCAACUCGACUCCAUGAAGUCGGAAUCGCUAGUAACCGUGGAUCAGAAUGCCACGGUGAAUACGUUCCCGGGCCUUGUACACACCGCCCGUCACACCAUGGGAGUGGGCUGCACCAGAAGUAGAUAGCUUAACCUUCGGGAGGGCGU
rnacentral:rRNA from 1 species